AUAUAUAUAUAUAUACAUAUGUACAUAUGUGUGUGUAUCCUCACAGGAAGUGGCUGAACAGGAGAAGAGGACCCUGGUCUUUGCAGUUCUCCCAGUUUUGUGUUCUGUGAGAAGUGAAUCAGCUCCAGGACACUGACAGUAAAGCAACAGACACAACCAGUGGCAUCAGUGACUCCUGGUGUCCCGUGUAGUCCGUCUGUACUGUGUGUGUGGGCCGGACGCUCAAUAGACGGGUCAUUUCAGGUCGGGGCCCAUGUGUGAAAUCAGAUGUUUAAGUGCCUGACUGAAGUGAGACUGUAGCAUCUUAACCAGCACCUGGCCAAAGGUCUCAUGUUCACUCAGCCACCGGGGCUGCUCUGAGUAUGCUCGCCACCUGCCAGCAGGCAUUAGGGAGGAUUUAGUAAUUAAGUGAUAGGCUGAGGACUAAAUUGGGCGUUUGUGGGCUGGCGAGCCACCCCCAAGUCCCUACAGCCAUGCAGAUAGGGGAUUCUAAUUGCCAGGAAUAUUGAUCAACCUGGUGUCGGGGGCGGACAGGGAAUUCACUAGCCAUCGAUUAGCUGUUACUGCGACUCUCUUGUCAAUGAAGGAGGGAGGGACACGCCGGAAAGGCUCUGGGCUUUUCCCACAGUAUCCUCAGUGACACAGCAUGUCGUGAAUCUUCUCUGUGUCUGUAAAUGAACUUUAUAGUCAGAGGUGAAACAAAGAGCAGAGUCACAGAGUCGUGUUUGUCUUCACUGAGACAAACCAAUGAUUGUAUCUUCGUCUCUCCUGCAGAGAUUCUCCUCUUCACUAUCUGUAUAUGUAAGAAAACCUUCACUUUCCUGUCUCUUCUGCUGCAACACUGUACAUGGGCCUAAUAAAGGAUUCUCUUCUCUUA